rnacentral:rRNA from 1 species
CCUACGGGAGGCUGCAGUCGAGAAUCAUUCACAAUGGGGGAAACCCUGAUGGUGCGACGCCGCGUGGGGGAAUGAAGGUCUUCGGAUUGUAAACCCCUGUCAUGUGGGAGCAAAUUAAAAAGAUAGUACCACAAGAGGAAGAGACGGCUAACUCUGUGCCAGCAGCCGCGGUAAUACAGAGGUCUCAAGCGUUGUUCGGAAUCACUGGGCGUAAAGCGUGCGUAGGCUGUUUCGUAAGUCGUGUGUGAAAGGCGCGGGCUCAUCCCGCGGACGGCACAUGAUACUGCGAGACUAGAGUAAGGGAGGGGGAACCGGAAUUCUCGGUGUAGCAGUGAAAUGCGUAGAUAUCGAGAGGAACACUCGUGGCGAAGGCGGGUUCCUGGACAUUAACUGACGCUGAGGCACGAAGGCCAGGGGAGCGAAAGGGAUUAGAUACCCCAGUAGUC